rnacentral:tRNA from 1 species
UGACCUAAGGUGUAAUGGUAACACAUCUGAUUUUGGUUCAGUCGUUCUAGGUUCGAAUCCUUUAGGUCAACCA